GAUCAUGUUCACAAUUAACCAAACUAGCAAACCUAAUGUUACUUAGACAUGUUUGGAUUAUUCCAACAACGGUCUACCUCGGGGAAAUUCUGCUCACGGCAAGGGGGUCUGGGGCAGCGCAAGCGGUGGUUGUCGGUAUCUGGUGCUUGCUCAUCUUUACAACAAGGCGUGCUUCAUCAGAUUACUUGCAGUUCAGGCUGACAGUCUUUCGGAUUUCCACGCCAGUACGCAUACUCCGAUGUUGUCGGCGGGGAUAUGAGAUAUGAGGUUACUGGUGAUUCUACCUAUAAGGUAAUCAGCCAUGGAGAAGACAUAGAAGGCAGUUUCCCCUAUAGGCACAGACCUGAAAAAGGUAACUGUACUUUGUGUAUGUGGUUACUUCUAUAUAAAUGACAUGACAAUUUUUGUCAACCACCCAUUAAG